rnacentral:rRNA from 1 species
CAGCCGCCGCGGUAAUACGAAGGGUGCAAGCGUUAAUCGGAAUUACUGGGCGUAAAGCGUGCGCAGGCGGUUGUGUAAGACAGGUGUGAAAUCCCCGGGCUUAACCUGGGAACUGCGCUUGUGACUGCACAGCUAGAGUAUGGCAGAGGGGGGUGGAAUUCCACGUGUAGCAGUGAAAUGCGUAGAGAUGUGGAGGAACACCGAUGGCGAAGGCAGCCCCCUGGGCCAAUACUGACGCUCAUGCACGAAAGCGUGGGGAGCAAACAGGAUUAGAUACCCCCGUAGUCCCUGUCUCUUAUAC